ACCUUUACUGUGCUAGAGAUAACGGGAGGUAUUUGUGAAAAUCAAAACAAAACAAAGCUUCCUCAGUGGGCGCAGGACAACGAGCUUGAAAAUAAAACACACAGACAGGGACCGAUGGCAUCAGUUUGCUUUACUCUCUGUGAAGGGCGAGCCAGGUGCACCUGCCGGAGGCCAAUCACCAAUGCAGAGUUGGGCUGCAUCUCCAUGGCUUACUUGGGACAAUUUCAAGGUCAUUUCAUUGACCAUAUAAGACAUCCCAGAGGGCUUCAAAACUGCUCAACCUGUGUCUACAUAAGGAUCUUUGUGCUUGAUAUCGCCUUUGCUUGGAGCUCUCUCCUGCAUUUCUUCAUGAAGGCUGUGCCUAUCUGCUCAGAUGACGCCUCUCAGAUGCUUCACGGCCCUCAUUCAAUGCCAUAUUGAAAACACGGUCGCCCUCACGCUGCUUGAUUGGUCUCUGUGGUACAUGCUUAGAUUGACAGUUUGAUGCUGUCUACUCAUUGCAAAAGUUAGCGAUUCCCGAGAGUCUAGGCGGAAUGAAGACUGGCAAGACUCAGAGCGUCGUCCACUAUGUUCGUUUCCACCUUCAGUGUGGCUUUUUACAAGGGCUCUAGCUGCCUCAGAGUUGCUGUUGACUUGGAGUGUCCUUGUGAAAGGAUGGGGAUGCUUCUCAUCCUUCUCAUGGGGCCUGCGUUCAGCACUCAGUCACUUAGUGACUCUUCAGUGGCUUUACCAAGACCAGCAGCAAGAGCAGGCAGAGAAACAAUGAACUGGCAAAGCCCCCUGAUGAGAAAAAACUGAACGCUGGGAGUUAGCCCAGUGGGUGGAACAUUUGCUGUGCGAGUAAGAAUGGAGUUCUCGGCACCUAGGAGGUGGAGACUGGACAAGCUGGCUAGCUAUUCUAGCUGGAAUGAGCGAAUUCCAGGUUCAGCAAGAUACCCCUGCCUCGAUAAAUAAAGGAGAGAGUGAUUGAG